GUAGGGUGCGAGCGUUAAUCGGAAUUACUGGGCGUAAAGCGUGCGCAGGCGGUUCGUUGUGUCGGUGGUGAAAUCCCCGGGCUUAACCUGGGAAUGGCCAUGGAAACUGGCGAACUGGAGUGCGGCAGAGGGGGGUGGAAUUCCGCGUGUAGCAGUGAAAUGCGUAGAGAUGCGGAGGAACACCGAUGGCGAAGGCAGCCCCCUGGGCUAGCACUGACGCUCAGGCACGAAAGCGUGGGGAGCAAACAGGAUUAGAUACCCUGGUAGUCCACGCCCUAAACCAUGUCAACUGGGUGUUCGGGAAGCGAUUUCUGAGUACCGUAGCUAACGCGUGAAGUUGACCGCCUGGGGAGUACGGCCGCAAGGUUA
rnacentral:rRNA from 1 species